rnacentral:lncRNA from 1 species
UGACCGGUAUCUGCAUGAGAAAGGACGCCUGGUUAACACGGAGUCUGGCUGUCGGGCGCCUGGUGGUGGCUGCAUGAGAACGGAGAAACCAUCGGGAGCUCCCGGGCGAACGAGUGUGCAGCUUGAUGCAUGUUGCCGUCGGUGGACGUAGGGACCGUGGCAACGAUUCGCAGGUCAUGAGGUCAUGGCAACGAUACGCAGCUUGAUGCAUAAUUGCGACAAAGUCGUUGCUAGCCAGAUCGAUCCUUUGACUGGGGAGUUACUCUUCUCUACCAGUGAUCGUUAUGUAGCAUGACAUGCUGCUUGGCUGGUCAAAACUCUAUGUACGUACCGACGUUGUCAACACCUGGCCGGCUUCACAUUAGCUUCCGUACUUUUGUAACCUCUUGGGCGGGGGCUACCUUAACUAAACCAUUCGAGGUGAAAGAGGGAAAUUAUUAUUUUGUAGAGCAUCUGGUUAAGAUGCUUUAAAUUUCGUGUAUACGUGUACACUUGAUGCACUCUAAAAAAG